rnacentral:rRNA from 1 species
AACAGGAUUAGAUACCCUGGUAGUCCAUACCGUAAACGAUGAAUGCUAAGUGUUGGAGGGUUUCCGCCCUUCAGUGCUGCAGCUAACGCAUUAAGCAUCCCGCCUGGGGAGUACGGCCGCAAGGCUGAAACUCAAAGGAAUUGACGGGGGCCCGCACAAGCGGUGGAGCAUGUGGUUUAAUUCGAAGCUACGCGAAGAACCUUACCAGGUCUUGACAUCUUGCGCUAACCUAAGAGAUUAGGCGUUCCCUUCGGGGACGCAAUGACAGGUGGUGCAUGGUCGUCGUCAGCUCGUGUCGUGAGAUGUUGGGUUAAGUCCCGCAACGAGCGCAACCCUUGUUACUAGUUGCCAGCAUUCAGUUGGGCACUCUAGUGAGACUGCCGGUGACAAACCGGAGGAAGGUGGGGACGACGUCAGAUCAUCAUGCCCCUUAUGACCUGGGCUACACACGUGCUACAAUGGUCGGUACAACGAGUCGCUAACCCGCGAGGGCAAGCUAAUCUCUUAAAGCCGAUCUCAGUUCGGACUGUAGGCUGCAACUCGCCUACACGAAGUCGGAAUCGCUAGUAAUCGCGGAUCAGCAUGCCGCGGUGAAUACGUUCCCGGGCCUUGCACACACCGCCCGUCACACCAUGGAAGUUUGUAACGCCCAAAGUCGGUGGCCUAACCAUUUGGAGGGAGCCGCCUAAGGCGGGACAGAUGACUGGGGUGAAGUCGUAACAAGGUAACC